rnacentral:rRNA from 1 species
AUGGCUCGUGUUGUUGUUCCGUUGAAUUUUAAUGCGUUCCUUGAGAAAGCAAAGUUGAAAGAUGAUGGUAGCAAUUACACGGACUGGGUCCGUAACCUGAGGAUUAUCCUCAUUGCUGCACAGAAAAGUUACGUCCUGGAAGCACCGCUGGGUGCCAGGCCUGCUGCUGAUGCAACUGACGACGUUAAGAACGUCUGGCAGAGCAAAGCUGAUGACUACUCUAUAGUUCAGUGUGCCAUGCUUUACGGCUUAGAACCGGGUCUUCAACGAUGUUUUGAACGUCAUGGAGCAUAUGAGAUGUUCCAGGAGUUGAAGUUAAUAUUUCAAGCAAAUGCCCGGAUUGAGAGAUAUGAAGUCUCCAAUAAUUUCUACAGCUACAAGAUGGAGGAGAAUAGUUCUGUUAGUGAGCAUAUACUCAAAAUGUCUGGGUAUAAUAAUCACUUGAUUCAACUGGGAGUUAAUCUUCUGGAUGAUAGCAUCAUUGACAGAAUUCUCCAAUCACUGCCACCAAGCUACAAGAGCUUUGUGAUGAACUAUAAUAUGCAAGGGAUGAACAAGACUAUUCCCGAGCUCUUCGCAAUGCUAAAAGCUGCGGAGGUAGAAAUCAAGAAGGAGCAUCAAGUGUUGAUGGUCAACAAGACCACUAGUUUCAAGAAAAAGGGCAAAGGGAAGAAGAAGGGGAACUUCAAGAAAAACAGCAAGCAAGUUGCUGCUCAAGAGAAGAAACCCAAGUCUGGACCUAAGCCUGAAACUGAGUGCUUCUACUGCAAGCAGACUAGUCACUGGAAGCGGAACUGCCCCAAGUAUUUGGCGGAUAAGAAGGAUGGCAAAGUGAACAAAGGGACUACAGAAUAA